rnacentral:rRNA from 1 species
AGGGAAGGCAGACCGGUGACGGCGAGCGAAUCCCAAAAAAAGACGUCUCAGUUCGGAUUGUAGUCUGCAACUCGACUACAUGAAGCCGGAAUCGCUAGUAAUCGCGGAUCAGAAUGCCGCGGUGAAUACGUUCCCGGGUCUUGUACACACCGCCCGUCACACCAUGGGAGUCGGAAAUGCCCGAAGUCAGUGACCCAACCGAGAGGAGGGAGCUGCCGAAGGCAGGUCUGGUAACUGGGGUGAAGUCGUAACAAGGUACC